UACGUAGGGUGCGAGCGUUGUCCGGAAUUAUUGGGCGUAAAGGGCUCGUAGGCGGUUUGUCGCGUCGGGAGUGAAAACCUUGGGCUUAACUCAGGGCUUGCUUUCGAUACGGGCAGACUAGAGGUAUGCAGGGGAGAACGGAAUUCCGGGUGUAGCGGUGGAAUGCGUAGAGAUCCGGAAGAACACCGGAGGCGAAGGCGGCUUGCUGGGCGUGAUCUGACGCUGAGGCGCGAAAGCGUGGGGAGCGAACAGG
rnacentral:rRNA from 1 species